rnacentral:rRNA from 1 species
GAGUUUGAUCUUGGCUCAGAUUGAACGCUGGCGGCAGGCCUAACACAUGCAAGUCGAGCGGAUGACGGGAGCUUGCUCCUUGAUUCAGCGGCGGACGGGUGAGUAAUGCCUAGGGAAUCUGCCUGGUAGUGGGGGACAACGUUUCGAAAGGAACGCUAAUACCGCAUACGUCCUACGGGAGAAAGCAGGGGACCUUCGGGCCUUGCGCUAUCAGAUGAGCCUAGGUCGGAUUAGCUAGUUGGUGGGGUAAAUGGCUCACCAAGGCGACGAUCCGUAACUGGUCUGAGAGGAUGAUCAGUCACACUGGAACUGAGACACGGUCCAGACUCCUACGGGAGGCAGCAGUGGGGGAAUAUUGGACAAUGGGCGAAAGCCUGAUCCAGCCAUGCCGCGUGUGUGAAGAAGGUCUUCGGAUUGUAAAGCACUUUAAGUUGGGAGAAGGGCAGUAAGUUAAUACCUUGCUGUUUUGACGUUACCGACAGAAUAAGCACCGGCUAACUCUGUGCCAGCAGCCG